rnacentral:rRNA from 1 species
AGAGUUUGAUCCUGGCUCAGAUUGAACGCUGGCGGCAUGGUUAAAACAUGCAAGUCGCAGGUGAAACCGCCUUCGGGCGGGAGUAAACUGGCGAACGGGCGAGUAAUGCGUUCCUAACUGCCCCGAAGAUGGGGAUAACUAGGGGAAACCCUGGCUAAUACCCAAUAAUCCUUUACGGGCAAACGCUCCGGCGCUUCGGGAUCGGGGAACGUCCUAUCAGGUUGUUGGUGAGGUAACGGCUCACCAAGCCAAAGACGGGUAGCGGGCGUGAGAGCGCGUUCCGCCGCAUCGGGACUGAGACACUGCCCGGACUCCUACGGGAGGCUGCAGUAACGAAUCUUCGGCAAUGCACGCAAGUCGACCGAGCAAUGCCGCGUGGUGGAUGAAGCCUUUCGGGGUGUAAACACCUGUCAGGAGCUAGGAAUUUUGACCAGCUCCAGAGGAAGGGCCGGCUAACUCCGUGCCAGCAGCCGCGGUAAUACGGAGGGCCCGAGCGUUAAUCGGAAUUACUGGGCUUAAAGGGUGCGUAGGCGGACAGGCAAGUACUUUGUGAAAGCCCUCGGCUCAACCGAGGAAUUGCUUGGUAAACUGCUUGUCUUGAGCCCGGUAGAGGCCAUCGGAACUCUAGGUGGAGCGGUGAAAUGCGUAGAUAUCUAGAGGAACGCCAAAGGCGAAAGCAGAUGGCUGGACCGGCGUGACGCUGAGGCACGAAAGCGUGGGUAGCGAACGGGAUUAGAUACCCCGGUAGUCCACGCCGUAAACGUUGUGCACUAGAUCGAGGGAGUUUUGACGCUGUCUCGGUCGAAGCGAAAGCGAUAAGUGCACCGCCUGGGCACUACGGUCGCAAGGCUAAAACUCAAAGGAAUUGACGGGGGCUCACACAAGCGGUGGAGCAUGUGGCUUAAUUCGAAGCAACGCGAAGAACCUUAUCCAGGGCUUGACAUGCAUGGAUUAGCUGCCUGGAAACAGGAGUGACGCCUUUUAGGUGGAACAUGUACAGGUGUUGCAUGGCUGUCGUCAGCUCGUGCUGUGAAGUGUCGGGUUAAGUCCCUCAACGAGCGAAACCCCUGCCGUUAGUUGCUAACAUUUAGUUGAGGACUCUAACGGGACUGCCGGUGUUAAGCCGGAGGAAGGUGGGGACGACGUCAAGUCAUCAUGGCCCUUAUGCCCUGGGCUGCACACGUGCUACAAUGGUUGGGACAAAGCGACGCAACACCGUAAGGUUGAGCAAAUCGCAAAAACCCAGCCCCAGUUCGGAUUGUGGUCUGCAACUCGACCACAUGAAGCUGGAAUCGCUAGUAAUCGCGGAUCAGCAAUGCCGCGGUGAAUACGUUCCUGAGCCUUGUACACACCGCCCGUCACGUCAUGGAAGCCGGGAGUGCCCGAAGUCGCGUCGGUACAGGCGCGCCGACGGCAAGCUCGGUGACUGGGACGAAGUCGUAACAAGGUA